rnacentral:lncRNA from 1 species
UUUAUGUCUUGGAGCUGUUAUACUAUGUAUAACCCACCUAGCAUUUUGUGCAUUCAUUUUAACCAAUCUCAUCUUCUUGGGAUUUAAUCGGCUAGCCACUUUGUCCAUAGUUAGAUCCACAUGUGUUAAUAUAUUUGCAAUUUCAGGAUCAUGUUUAGCACAUGGCUAGAUGCAAAGUUACAUUGAUCGGUGUUGCUGCAAGGUACAUUGUCCUUGCACCUGAGACAUUUGUUCAGCUAAUGCGUAUGUGCUUCUGCAUAGGAUUGGGAUCUGCUCCAGAAUAUUGUUAUUUUGGUUAUUUUAAUUAGGAAUUUAGGAUACACGCAGAUGACCACUUUUUAAUAAGGAAUAGUCCAGUCCAUGUCAUAAUUUGUUGGGUUCUCAUGCAAAUAGAAGAAAAGAAAAAAAAAACUCAAACACGAGAUGUUUUCUGAUGGUAUCUAAUUAAAGAUGCCAUGACAAAAGUGGUGUUAUGAAUACAACCCUUCUAUCACGAAAGGAAGAAGAAUUAACUUGAACAGUAAGAGAAAGAUAUUUUACAGAAGUUCAGUUUUUUUUUUUUGCAAGUUCCCAAGUUGGUAAAUGUUGAUCUCGCUGAUGUGCAAACCAUCAUGCAAAAUGCAGGAUAAUAUUUGAUCGGGACAAGAACUGCUACAGGUACAGCAUCUGUAAUAACUAAUAUGGUGUUUAAUGUAUUUUCAAAUUUAUAUGACGGUUGCACAUAUCCGGUUCCAUUCUGUGCAAACUGAAAUCUUAGUUCUAUCCCGUUCAAUGAGAAGCCUUCAGUACGUGAUGCAGCUGGGA